rnacentral:rRNA from 1 species
UACAGAGACUGCGAGCGUUAUUCGGAUUCACUGGGCGUAAAGGGUGCGCAGGCGGCCAAGUGUGUGAGGCGUGAAAGCUCGAGGCUCAACCUCGGAAUUGCACCUCAAACUACAUGGCUAGAGUACUGGAGAGGGUAACGGAAUUCACGGUGUAGCAGUGAAAUGCGUAGAUAUCGUGAGGAACACCAGAGGCGAAGGCGGUUACCUGGACAGUUACUGACGCUCAGGCACGAAAGCGUGGGGAGCAAAAGGG